UCUGAAGUGAUAAAAAUGAAAAUCACACUACCAUUUGAAGUCCAUUCUCCAGGUUUUCAGUGUCAUUUCUGUGCAGUCAGUUUUAUGUGUCACACUUCGGCUUGUGUUGGCUUUCUUCUUUUGCCCCAGAUUAAACUGAACAAUGUAUAUAUAUAUAACACUAUCUGUCUGUAAAAUACUUUUUUUAAGAAAGCAUUUAUAUUUAUAUGACAGCUUGAACUGACAACAUUAUGUAUAUAGAUCAUCUUGAAGUAUUAUUUCACAUUGAAAAGAAGAAAAAUAUAUUGAUAACUAUAGAUGUUAUGAAGAAGAGGCUAUUUCUAGUUUUGUACUAAAAAUCAAUUGGAUGAACUAAAUCCAAAACCAGACACUGUCGCAGCAAUUUUCAGUCUUAUUUUUACUGUUUCUACAUUGGAGGCUGCUGCACAGAUAGAUGAUCUUCGUCCUUGCUGUUUUCAGAGGAGCUUGGUUUCCUAGAGCAGACUGUUACCUUUCAGGAUUCCUUUUUCUUGCUGAAGUAGAGUCCUGGUUUUCCUUAUGAGUGAUUAUCCAUAUUUGUAAGUUCUGGGUUUGUAAUUCAGGUUGGAGCAAGGUGUGAAUAACUAAAGAAAAUAACUUGCUGGCAAUAUAGGAAAUGCCAUGGAAAUAAACUGUGUAUAUACUUCUGAGAAGAACAAAAUUAAUCAUUUUUUUUUUCUGUUAAGCACUAGUCACUAUAGUGCAUCUCCUGGUUCUGUACUGUAUUUUAUACGCAACGUACAUGCUUUAAUAUUUUAAUGUUUGUGCAUUAAUAUUUUCAGUUUGUUUAACCACUUUGCUGCUAAGAUUUUGCCAUCCCGUUCCCAUUUUUUCCUUUACAAUUUUAAACAUUUCUCUUCAUUAAAAACUAUGAUAAUGAAAUUGUUUUUUUUUUAACCUUGGAUUUUUGUAAUUAGCACACAUGAAUUCAAGCCAGUCCAGAAAAGAAACUGAUGAUAUAAUGUUAAUGAGUCUCUUUGUGAAUUAGAUGGACAGUUUAAUCCAAUUCCCAACAUGUACGUGUAGGUGGAUUCAAGAAUGAUUUCUUGUUCACUGUACAGAUUGGGCGCUGCCAUUGGGCAUUUUCUUUAAAACUUCUCUUUUGUCUAGAAUGUAAGCAGAUAGCUCAACAAAACUGGUGAAGUAAAAGUAAAUAUUGAAAAUGAAAUCAUCUGAAUAGCGUGACCCAAAAAUUCUCCAGCUGGGGGGCCUGUUUGCUCCUGAUCUGUAGUUCUCAGAGGAUGCUUGCAGCCUGUGGGGAAGCCUUAGAUUUCCUGAGCAGUGCUUGCGGAGCUGCAGUGCCACCUGCUGGAUGGCUUUAGACCAGCGCUGAAAGAUGGAAAUGGUGUCUCCAGUAAAGGAGGGCUGUGGGCUGUUCAGGGUGGCCAGUGCCCACCAGAGAAAUCGGGGGUGAGGAAAAGCGCUAAGGAGUGUAAGUAAGUCUUUCCCCAAAUGCAUAUGGUUGCUGGAAGAAUUGAAGCACUUUUUCCUUACACAUCCUGUUUUAAAAUAUUUAUUGAAACUUGGAACUGGCAAUCAAACUUAUGUAUGUACUGAAGCAUUUAUACAACCAGUUUCUUCAACUCAGAAGCCAUUACCAAAAUGGUAUUCCUAUUUUCUUCCCAGUACCAGUCAGGGAGAAUUAAAAAAAAAAUAAACAUAAUUACCUGUAUUUUAUCAUGACAACUCCAGAGAGUGUGUAUGUUUCUGAGUAGAUGUUGAUGAGGCAGGACUUAAAAUUUAAAGAGAAAAACUUGAAACUACCUAUUUUCAUUGGUUAUUCAGCAGUGCCUAAAAUGAGCUUCUGAACUAUUACAAAUGCACUUUGGAUUCAUGUGUACAGUGCCAUCUGGUUCUCUGGGUCAAACUUGCUUCUCCUCUCCCUCUUUCUUCUCCCGUAACUAAGUGGCACACAGGCAUUUCUUAGUGUUCGUGUCGGUCUUCAAAGUGCAGAGAACGUGGUGGAGAGAAUUUUAUGGAUCUUUUUUUUCUGUUAAAAUUGAAUGUCUGAUUAUAUUUGCAACAUGUAACUUGGAUUAAUGUGUUUUAAAGUAAUUUUAAUUGUAGUCCAGCAGCACAUUGAGCAAGUGUAGCUUUUCUGAAAAGUAACUUGGAGAACUUCAGUUAACCGAUAAAACCAACUCAUCAC
rnacentral:lncRNA from 1 species